CUUGUGAUAAUGAGUGAGUCUCGUGAAAUCUGAUGGUUUUAUGAGUCUGAUAUUUCCCCUGCUUCACUCACUCUGUCCUGCCACCCUGUGAAGAAGGUGCCUGCUUCUCCUUUGCCUUCUGCCAUGACGGUUAAGUUUCCUGAGGCCUUCCCAGCAAUGUGGAACCAAGACUGCAAUGUGAAGACCCAGAGGCACAGGGAGAGCUGUGAGAAGAUGGAAGCUUAGACUGGAAUGAUGCGUCAAUGAGCAAAGGAACACCAGGGAUUGCUGGCCAUCACCAGAAGCUAGGGCCUGGAACACAUUCUCCCUCAGAAGGAACAAACCUUGCUGAUGUCUGGAUUUCAACGUUCUAACCUCCAGAACCAUGACAGAAUAAGCUUCUGUUCUUUUAAAGCCCCCAGUUUGUGAUGCAUAGUUAUGGCAGCCCUCGCAAACCAAUACACCCCCACAACAGGAAAUUAUCUGGUCCCAGAUGUCAAUAGUGCCACUGUUGAAAAACCCCGCAUUAAGAGAACAUGACGCUCUCCUACUCUUAACAAGCAUUCUACCCCUUUCUUCCUCUUUCCAGGGGCUGCCAAACAUUCUGGGGAAGGUUGGAAGCAGUUAUGCCUGUAUCCAGAACAAGGGGGAGAGCAGGCUGUUUCAGAGUGAAAACCUGUCUUUUAAAAUGCUUAACAUGGUUAGUGCAUCUGGCAACUUAAUUAGCCUUGGUGCACCUCGGGAAUGAGAGGUACCUGCUGGAGUUAUGCUGAUGAAUUGCAAUAUUGUUUUCAUAGCGCAAGACCCUGGGUCUCUUCCCAGCCUGGGCUGAAAGUCUCUGGCUUUCAGUAGUUGGCUGGGUGGUCUGAAGUUUCCUCUACAGUGUUACAUUCUAUUUUGUUAGUCUCUGUUUCCUUCACAAGGCUUAGGGCUUUGUUUCACCCCCACCAAAAAGCAGUAUUUCUUGAGAACUGGAAAGGAAAACAUUCCACUAGGUUUUAACCAGAAAAAUGAUGUGGCGGGAAGACCAAUCCUAUCCAAAGUAAAUGAAAUAAGCCACCAGUGCAAUUUGCUGAUUCAUUAUCUGUUAAAGUAUUAUUGCCACAAAAUGUACUAUCUCAGGGCCUAGAUAGCCCAUUCAGCUCUUGGGUGUAAAACCCAUUUCAUUAAUGAGCCUGGCAUUUGCAGAACUUGUGCCCUGGUUUUCUUCUAUGCUGAAAUAAUAAGUUGAAUAACAAAUUGUAAAGGCCGUGUUUCUCACUUGGGUUUCAGGGGGUCUGCCUCCUUCUAUGAGGGUGAAUAUUUUAAUGGUACUGUGCCUCCACGCAAAGACACAAAACACACACACCUACACACAAAACUGCCCAACAUGGUGGGUAGCUUGCACAGACUUGGAAGCUAGCAGCUCUUAAAAUUGGUGCAGAGACUUUUAAAAUGAAUCCUUUCAUCCAUUGAAGAAACUGCAAAGUGAAUUAAAUAAAAUCAGGCUAAAAAGACUGAUGACUCAUAAGAAAUAGAGCAACAGCCAAUGACAAGUAGACCUUCCAGGAAUAGAGCUCCCAGAGAAGUUCCCAUUUUCCUUAGAGGAAAGUGAAGAUGACCUUGACUCUAUUAGCAUAUCUUGUUUGCUUUGGGAGAGCUGUUUCAGCUGGCUUGCCCAGGACGGGUGCAUUUUCUGUUUAAUUUGUGUGCCAUCGCCCCCCUUAUUCCCUAGGGCCCAGCAUCUAUUGGCUACUCAGUGAUGCUGUUAAUUUGCACCAAAACUGGCAGUGGCAAGACCUUGAAAUUUUCUUAUCUUGGGCCUUAUAAAUGAUAUUAAGCCCAUCCUUUAGCAUCUCUAUGCCUCAGUGUGUUUACUGGAAAAACAGGUGAGUGAGAAUGGGAGUCUGUAGAUUUGCAACAUAGAGAUGUUAAAAGGAUGCCUUCUGUCAUCAUGGCUCUACACUUCUUGACCUUCAACUCGAGCCAGUUUGUUUUUGGUAUGUAAUUUUGAGAAGUCUGACAACCUAAUCAUUCUUCUAAGAUAUUUAUUUAGUUUUACUGAGCUUUCAGAGCAGCAGGUUUUAUGUAACGGAAGCACUGAAAUUGAAGCCUGGAUACCUAGGUUUAAGGCCCAGCUCUGUCACUUACCAGGUGUGUGACCCCAGGCAAGUUACAUAACCUCUUCAGGCUUUAGUUUGCCCAUCUGUCAAAUGGGAACCAUGUCUGUGUUCCCUGUUCCCAGGGGUUUUGUGAACAUCAGGUUUCAUGAUGCAUGUGAAAGGGCUUUGAAAAUGGCGAGGCAAUAUUUAAAGGUCAAGUAUAAUUAUGAAUACAUUCUGAUUCCUUUUAAAAUUUCCAUGUAAUCAUUUCUGUAGUCAAGCCUGCUUUUUAUGCAAGGGACAACAGAGCACUCUCCUGAGCAGCCUGUUGUUUUUUGACUUUACUGUUAUCCCACUUGCUGUUCAGUGAUCUGGUUCCAGUUUUACCAUCUAGAGACUGGUUCUUUCUGUGAGCAUGUUUACUUCUCAUUGUCAUUAAUUAAGAUAAGGACAGUGAUUUAUAAGUCACACAGUUGCUUGAGGCAUAGCAUUUAAAAGUGCCACAUGCACUUCUCCCUUUUAAGGUAACACCUUGCAUUACAGUUAAAAACAGACUGUUUGUUUGCAGCAUUUGGAGGCA
rnacentral:lncRNA from 10 species